rnacentral:rRNA from 1 species
CCCCAGACUCCUACGGGAGGCAGCAGUGAGGAAUAUUGGUCAAUGGGCGCGAGCCUGAACCAGCCAAGUCGCGUGAGGGAUGAAGGAUCUAUGGUUCGUAAACCUCUUUUAUAAGGGAAUAAAGUGCGGGACGCGUCCCGCUUCGCAUGUACCUUAUGAAUAAGGAUCGGCUAACUCCGUGCCAGCAGCCGCGGUAAUACGGAGGAUCCGAGCGUUAUCCGGAUUUAUUGGGUUUAAAGGGUGCGUAGGCGGCCUUUUAAGUCAGCGGUGAAAGUCUGUGGCUCAACCAUAGAAUUGCCGUUGAAACUGGGGGACUUGAGUAUGUUUGAGGCAGGCGGAAUGCGUGGUGUAGCGGUGAAAUGCAUAGAUAUCGCGCAGAACUCCGAUUGCGAAGGCAGCAUACCGGCUCCACACUGACGCUGAGGCACGAAAGCGUGGGUAUAGAACAGGAUUAGAUACCCGAGUA